rnacentral:rRNA from 1 species
UACGUAGGGGGCGAGCGUUGUCCGGAUUCAUUGGGCGUAAAGCGCGGGCAGGCGGCCCGCCAAGUCGGCCGUGAAAGCGCCGGGCUUAACUCGGCGAGGACGGGCGAGACUGGCGGGCUGGAGGCUGGCAGAGGGCGGUGGAAUUCCGGGUGUAGUGGUGGAAUGCGUAGAGCUCCGGAGGAACACCAGUGGCGAAGGCGGCCGCCUGGGCCAGUCCUGACGCUGAGCCGCGAAAGCGUGGGGAGCGAUC